UUUGAUCCUGGCUCAGAAUGAACGCUGGCGGCGUGGAUAAGACAUGCAAGUCGAACGAAAAAGUGAAUAGUUUACUGUGAUCUUUUUAGUGGCGGACGGGUUAGUAACGCGUGAGCAACCUGCCUUAAAGAGGGGGAUAGUCCUGGGAAACUGGGUUUAAUACCGCAUAUGCCCUACGGGGUAAAGCUGGCUUCGGCUGGCGCUUUAAGAUGGGCUCGCGUCCUAUCAGCUUGUUGGUGAGGUAAAGGCUCACCAAGGCUACGACGGGUAGUUGGUCUGAGAGGACGACCAGCAACACUGGAACUGAGACACGGUCCAGACACCUACGGGUGGCAGCAGUCGAGAAUCAUUCACAAUGGACGAAAGUCUGAUGGUGCAACGCCGCGUGUGGGAUGAAGGCCUUAGGGUCGUAAACCACUGUCAUGUGAGAGUAAGGCAUAAUCGUUAAUAGCUUUUAUGUUUGAUAGUAUCACAAGAGGAAGGGACGGCUAACUUCGUGCCAGCAGCCGCGGUAAUAAGGG
rnacentral:rRNA from 1 species